AGAGUUUGAUCCUGGCUCAGACUGAACGCUGGCGGCAGGCCUAACACAUGCAAGUCGAACGGUAACAGGAAGAAGCUUGCUUCUUUGCUGACGAGUGGCGGACGGGUGAGUAAUGUCUGGGAAACUGCCUGAUGGAGGGGGAUAACUACUGGAAACGGUAGCUAAUACCGCAUAACGUCGCAAGACCAAAGAGGGGGACCUUCGGGCCUCUUGCCAUCGGAUGUGCCCAGAUGGGAUUAGCUAGUAGGUGGGGUAACGGCUCACCUAGGCGACGAUCCCUAGCUGGUCUGAGAGGAUGACCAGCCACACUGGAACUGAGACACGGUCCAGACUCCUACGGGAGGCAGCAGUGGGGAAUAUUGCACAAUGGGCGCAAGCCUGAUGCAGCCAUGCCGCGUGUAUGAAGAAGGCCUUCGGGUUGUAAAGUACUUUCAGCGGGGAGGAAGGAAGUAAAGUUAAUACCUUUGCUCAUUGACGUUACCCGCAGAAGAAGCACCGG
rnacentral:rRNA from 1 species